GUGUCAGCCGCCGCGGUAAUACAGAGGUCCCAAGCGUUGUUCGGAUUCACUGGGCGUAAAGGGUGCGUAGGUGGUGAGGUAAGUCGGAUGUGAAAUCUCCGAGCUCAACUCGGAAAUGGCAUUGGAAACUGCCUUGCUAGAGGAUUGGAGGGGAGACUGGAAUGCUUGGUGUAGCAGUGAAAUGCGUAGAUAUCAAGCGGAACACCAGUGGCGAAGGCGAGUCUCUGGACAAUUCCUGACACUGAGGCACGAAAGCCAGGGGAGCAAACGGGAUUAGAUACCCCGGUAGUCC
rnacentral:rRNA from 1 species